GCUUAUAGCUCAGUCAGUAGAGCAUGAGACUCUUAAUCUCAGGGUUGUGAAUUUGAGCCCUAUGUUGGGCA